rnacentral:lncRNA from 9 species
GUAUAGAAAGUGGUACACAUGUAGUUGGAAACAAAACAGAGCACAGGUAUGAUAUUGAAGGCGAUUAUCUUGCUGUUUACCUUCCAUACAACCUAGGAAGUAAAAGCUUAGGAUAAGAAAGUAAUCUUAGUUCUUACAUUGACACCAAAUGAUCAAAGUAAAAAUGUGUUUCUUUCAAGUUCAAAAUUGAGUUGGCUUAACAUGACAUUCAUUAUAUUUUUAAAUCUUAAAUAUCUUUAUUUAUUUAUUUUUUCUAGGGCUGCACCUGCAGCAUAUGGAGGUUCUCAGGCUAGGGGUCAAAUCAGAGCUGUAGCCGUUGGCCUACACCAGAGCCACAGCAACACCAGAUCUGAGCCGCAUCUGCGACCUAGACCACAGUUCAUGGCAACACUGGAUCCUUAACACACUGAGCAGGGCCAGGGAUUGAACCCACCACCUCAUGGUUCCUAGUCAGAUUUCUUAACCACUGCAUGACGAUGGGAACUCCUCAAAUAUCUUUAAAGAAAGGUAGGUGAAUGAGGAUCUAUUUUGACCUCAAUCACUAAAAACACAGCAAGCAUAGUAAACAGUCUGAAUAUGUAUUAUCUCACAUAACAAAAUGUGUGGAAGGAGGAAUUCCAGGGCUGGGUAAGCAAACAUAUCAUCAAAGACAGAUGUUUUUCUAUGUCUUAUUUACUUCUCCAAAGUUUUGACUUAAGUUCCUUCUCGUCAAGAUCCUCAGAUGCCUAUCUCAGUUCCAGGAAUUACAUGCAGAAACAAUGUCAAGAUGAAGAAAAGGAAAUACCCCUUCAUUUGUCUCUUUUACAAGUGAGGAAAACCUCCAGAAUUGUUCAAACAUCGCAUUGGCCAGAAUCAUGUCAUGUGAUCACAUCCUCACCAGUGAAUUAUCAUGGGAAAUGAAGCCACUAAGUGUCUAGGACCAUCAUGAUUCUCCCUCCGAGCUGUUUACCAGAAAUAUGUCGACACUAAUGAUAAACAAAGUCUGAGUUCUUUAAGCGAGGAAUAAGGGAAAUGAUGACUGGUUAGAGGACAACUUGUAUUGUUCACAGAGUGUGAGAAAUAUUUAUGCUUUCUAAAAGCUCUAAGGAUCGUAAAAUAUUGAAAAACAUAGGAUUAGAAACACAGAGCAGCCAGUAUUCACCCAUCAAUAGUCACCUAAAUUUUUAUAGUCUGUGAGAAGAAUGAAUGUGUUUCUUCGCAAUCAAAUGACAAAGUCUUAGUUCUUUAAACAAACACAAAGAAGACCUUGAGGCAAAAAGUGGACAUUCUAACAAAAUGUGAUAGAAUGAAAGGCAUGGACACAUAAGAUCCAAAUGGCAAAGAUGAUUAGUGACAUACAUGUUCUGCCAAGGUCACGAGGUCCACAGGGAGAAUAAACUGCGUAUUAGCAUCAGAAUGCAUGUGUGGGGGUCUUUAGGAAAGGAAGAGUGGUAAAAUCUGUGUACUAUUCUCAUGGCAGAGUCAGGUUCAGACAUGUUCUACACAUUUUUAGAGUCCACAUAAGUUUAUUGGUUAAAGAAUCCCUCUAAGUAAUGAUUUUUAUACAUAUAACCACUUUCAUUACUAUUAAAUAUUUAGAAAAUAUGAGAGCAUAAACUCAAGAAGCACAGAGAUGUUAUCUAUUCCAUUCACUAUUUUAAUCCAGAGCUUAAUACAGUGCAUAGAUAGAUAGAUAUUCUGCCACUUAGAGUGGACAGAAACCAGGAAACACACUAAUUUACAGCCGACUUAAUUAAGCAUAUUUGUAACAGGGAAUGUUUUAACUCAUCCUUACAACAAACUGAUGAGGUAGACAUUUCUUUUUUUUUAAUUUUUUUGAUUGUUAUUUCCCCAAUAGUUUUUUUUCCCCUACUGUUCAGUAUGGUGACCCAGUUACACAUACAUGAGGUAGACAUUUUAUUUUCAAGUCUAACAUUUAUUUUACCAUAACUGAUAAAUGAGUGAUGUGAUUGCAGACAGUUUUAGAAGUGUUUGAGCACUAUUUUCACUAAAAUGGCACAAUUCUUAGAUUUAUAUGUUUGCAUAUAUCCCUAACUUAAGGUUUUUUAAUAGUGACAUAGAAUUUAAAAAAAUAAACAAUACCUUCAGUGUUCUACUUUCCUCAGUCACUGUAUACCACCUUUUUCCAUGCAUUAUGCCUGGAUUACAUUCAAUAAAAGUUGAGGUUUAAAAAAACCAUAAAACAUAUGUAAGUUACCACCAACAUAAUAAAAUCAAUGAAAUUCCAAGCAUGUCUGUGGCUGCAUCCUGAAUUCAUCUCAGAUCCCAAGUGGUACAAUACAAAUGAAAUGGAACACUUCACCCCAUUCUACAAAUUCCCUCUGCAGCUUUUACAACAGAAUGAGUUAUGGACCGGCUGAAAGAGUCAGAAGCUCAGUGCUUUGUACCAUGCUUGUUUUGUUACAUGUGACAUGUCGGGUCUGUGAGAAUCUGGACUACAUUACGGUUGUUCUAGGUUUGGAGCAGCAAGCAUUUACAUAGAUCAGUUCUUCCUUGGGGAGUGGGGGUGGGCAGACUGUGAAUAUUUUCAGGAGCGGUAUCAUCUUACCAGGACCAAAGCUGAGGCCACACCAUGCCUGCUGACACACUGGGCACACUGCCUGCAUCUGUUCCAUAAAUGUUCUCUUGGCCCUGUUUCUCACAAGCUGAAUGCUGGGAAGUGACAGGUGCACGGGUGGACCAGGCUGGCGCAGUGUCUGACUGUCUGAACGGCUGGGGCUUUCCAUCUGACAGGAUUUACCCAGUCAUGAUGGAUGGUAGCUCGAGCACAGGAAAGAGAAAGGGAAGCUAGAGAGGAAACUAACUGUAUUAUACCGUGGGGGUCUGUAAAAUGCCCACCUAUGAAACGAUAUGAGGAGCUCAAUAUCUGACAAGAGUUGAGGGAAUUAAGAGUAAUUUGAUUACAGGUGCUCAACUGGCAUUCAUUUUCCUCUUAUUAUCUGAGAACCUUCCCUCGAGAGAGAGCACUAACCUUCAAAAGGAGCAGAUGAAUGGCUCUAUUAAAAGCACUGUAGUUUGUUCAUGGCUCUGUAGCAUCUGACCAUUUUAUGAACCCAGUGGAAUUGUAAAUAGGAAACAGAAGAGAGGAAAUGUCUUCCUCAAACAGUGUACAGAUGACUCUAUCUGUCUUUAGUGAUUUGUAAUUCUGAAAGAGAGUGUGCACACGGACAGAACGAUGUGGAGGAGCGGUACCUGCUCCAUCCACAGGGCCCCCAGUCCUGAGUGUAUCUCUUAAAGGUCAGAUAUUUCAAUUCUAUGUUGUGUCAAACGGUGACGGUGUCUUUAAAAAAAAAUGAAUAAAAUAUCUAAGUUAAAUGUGCUCAGUAUUAAAUAACUUGUUGUUGCUAUUAUAUAUAUAUGCGUGUGUGUGUAUAUAUAUAUAUGGUUCAUUUUAAUCUCACUUAAAAACACAUCUCUAGGAGUUUCUGUCGUGGCACAGUGGUUAACGAAUCCGACUAGGAACCAUGAGGUUGCGGGUUCGGUCCCUGCCCUUGCUCAGUGGGUUAACCAUCCGGCGUUGCCGUGAGCUGUGGUGUAGGUUGCAGACAUGGCUCGGAUCCUGUGUUGCUGUGGCUCUGGCGUAGGCCGGCAGCUACAGCUCUGAUUCGACCCCUAGCCUGGGAACCUCCAUAUGCUGUGGGAGCGGCCCAAGAAAUAGCAAAAAGACAAAAAAAAAAAAAAACCACAUAUCUCUAGAUAGUUUUUGAUAUCAACUUUCAAAUACAAUUUCUGUAAGAGUGACAACUAUGAAUGGAAAAUAUCUUACCUGAAUGAUUCAUAAAUAAAUAAAUCUCACUGGUUUACCUAUAAUGAAGCCAUAGGACAACACCAACAACUUUCCCUCCUCUAGUAAAAAAGCAAGAUUAACAAAUUUAUUUAAAACUGUGUCUCGAAUAUUGAUAUUGCUCUUAGCUUAUUUAAUCUGAAUUUAGAAAAAGUGCAAAUGUUUCGUUGGCAUUACAGUUUGCUUAAUAGCUUCCUUCUGGUGUGUCACAGAGGAAGAUAAACUAAUAUUUACAUCUUAUCAAUAGAAAUAACAACUUGGAUACUAAUCUAUAACAUAUAGAAAAGUCUUCCAAGAUUCAGGAAAUUCAGAACUAAUAAACCAUGUAAUAAUUAAUUGUAUAUCAUUAAAUAAUUAAUAAUUAAUAGUAGUUUCCCUUUUUUAUCAAAAUACAUAUAACUGUACAUAAACUAUAAAAUAUCACUUAAAUGUUAAUCAUAAAACCUGCCAUAAAUGUGUACAUUUAUAUAAACCAAAAUUAAUACACCAAAAGGUGGUAACUGUAUCAAAAAACUCAGCUUAAAGCUACCCAAAGACCACUUCUGAAACUUUCUGGACUUCUUCAGAAUUUGUACUAUUUUAUUAUAAAAAUAUUCAAAGCCAAAAUUUAUUUUUUUGCCCAAAGAAUGAGAUGGACAGCAUAGGAAGAUAUUCUGAAUUUAAUUUUGAAACAGCAGUAAUGACACUACCCUUGUGAAAAACAUAAUCUAUGUUAACAUAUAAAUUCUAAAAAUAUUUUCAUCAUUUGAUAAAAUCACAAAUUGUGUAGUAACUUUUAAAUAUUCAUUGUCAUAUUUGUAUGACACAUGUAUGAGUUUUCAUGGUAAAAAUAUUUAUAGUCAACCCUUUAUGAUUUAUAUUAAUAUGAGUUCAUAAGUAGAUAAGCUCAAAACUGUAAAUUUUGGAUUAUUUUUCCAAGCUACUUAAAAAGUUCGGUUACAGAAAUGUCCUAUAACUGAAAUAGUGGUAUUGGUGGUAUAUUUUCCUUACUACAACUUACUUCUAAUACAAGUUAAAUAAGAUUUAGUGAUUAUCUACUGUUGUGCUGGGCACUAGAGAAUGGUUUUCCUCUCAUUAUCAUAUUUACUUGCCACAAUGUAUUGUCACCGACUUCAUUUUACAAAUGAGAAAACUGAGGCUUAAAAAGAUUAAGGAACUUGCCCAAGGGUUUAGGAGUCGCUUUAACAACUAUAAAUGACUUUAUUUUCACUGUACAAUUUAUGCUACUUCAUUUAUCAUGGGGAAGAGAUGAAAUUAAUAGUGUGACUGGUUUUUUUGUUCUAAAGAAAGUCACACUAGGAGUUCCCAUCAUGGCACAGCAGGAACGAAUCUGAUGAGGAACCAUGAGGUUGCAGGUUUGCCUUGCUCAGUGGGUUAAGGAUCCAGCAUUGCUGUGAGCUAUGGGUAGGUCUCGGACGUGGCUCGGAUCUUGGGUUGCUGCGGCUGUGAUGUAGGCUGGCAGCUGUAGCUCCUAUUGAACCCCUAGCCUGGGAACCUCCAUAUGCUAUGUGUGUGUCCCUAAAAAAGCAAAAAAAAAUAAAAAAUAAAAA